rnacentral:rRNA from 1 species
CCUACGGGUGGCUGCAGUCGAGAAUCUUCGGCAAUGGGCGCAAGCCUGACCGAGCGACGCCGCGUGUGGGAUGAAGGCCUUCGGGUUGUAAACCACUGUCGGAGGGGAUGAAAUACUAGUAGGUACUCCUAUUAGUUUGACUGAUCCUCGGAGGAAGGGUGGGCUAAGUUCGUGCCAGCAGCCGCGGUAAGACGUACCACCCAAACGUUAUUCGGAAUCACUGGGCUUACAGAGUCCGUAGGCGGCUCGGAAAGUUGGACGUGAAAUACCUCAGCUCAACUGAGGAACUGCGCUCAAAACUACCGAGCUUGAGAAAGACAGAGGUGAGCGGAACUGAUGGUGGAGCGGUGAAAUGCGUUGAUAUCAUCAGGAACACCGGUGGCGAAAGCGGCUCACUGGGUCUUUUCUGACGCUGAGGGACGAAAGCUAGGGGAGCGAACGGGAUUAGAUACCCUAGUAGUC